UACAGAGGGUGCGAGCGUUAAUCGGAAUUACUGGGCGUAAAGCGUGCGUAGACGGUCAUGUAAGUCGGGUGUGAAAGCCCCGGGCUCAACCUGGGAAUUGCAUUCGAGACUGCAUGGCUAGGAUGCGGAAGAGGGAAGCGGAAUUUCCGGUGUAGCGGUGAAGUGCGUAGAUAUCGGAAGGAACACCAGUGGCGAAAGCGGCUUCCUGGUCCAGCAUCGACGUUCAGGCACGAAAGCGUGGGGAGCAAACAGG
rnacentral:rRNA from 1 species